rnacentral:rRNA from 1 species
AUUGAACGCUGGCGGCAGGCUUAACACAUGCAAGUCGAGCGAGCGGCGGACGGGUGAGUAAUGUCUGGGAAACUGCCUGAUGGAGGGGGAUAACUACUGGAAACGGUAGCUAAUACCGCAUACCAUCAGAUGUGCCCAGAUGGGAUUAGCUAGUAGGUGGGGUAAUGGCUCACCUAGGCGACGAUCCCUAGCUGGUCUGAGAGGAUGACAAGCACCACGGGAACUGAGACCCGGCCCAGACUCCUACGGGAGGCAGCAGUGGGGAAUAUUGCACAAUGGGCGCAAGCCUGAUGCAGCCAUGCCGCGUGUAUGAAGAAGGCCUUCGUGUUGGAAAGUACUUUCAGUCGGGAGGCGUUACCGACAGAAGAAGCACCGGCUAACUCCGUGCCAGCAGCCGCGGUAAUUC